UACAGAGGGGCAAGCGUUGUUCGGAAUUACUGGGCGUAAAGGGCGCGUAGGCGGCCCGCUAAGUCGAACGUGAAAUCCCCGAGCUCAACUCGGGAACUGCGUCCGAUACUGGUGGGCUUGAAUCCGGGAGAGGGAUGCGGAAUUCCAGGUGGUAGCGGUGAAAUGCGUAGAUAUCAGGAGGAACACCGGUGGCGAAGGCGGUUCUCUGGGCAUUACCUGACGCUGAGGAGCGAAAGUGUGGGGAGCGAACAGG
rnacentral:rRNA from 1 species